rnacentral:rRNA from 1 species
UGGGGAAUAUUGGGCAAUGGGCGAAAGCCUGACCCAGCGACGCCGCGUGAGGGAAGAAGGUCUUCGGAUUGUAAACCUCUUUCAGCAGGGAAGAAGAAAGUGACGGUACCUGCAGAAGAAGUCACGGCUAACUACGUGCCAGCAGCCGCGGUAAUACGUAGGUGGCGAGCGUUAUCCGGAAUUACUGGGUGUAAAGGGUGUGUAGGCGGGGUGUCAAGUCAGAUGUGAAAACUGUGGGCUCAACCCACAAACUGCAUUUGAAACUGAUACUCUUGAGAGUGGGAGAGGUAAACGGAAUUCCUGGUGUAGUAGUGAAAUGCGUAGAUAUCAGGAGGAACACCGGUGGCGAAGGCGGCCUACUGGGCACCAACUGACGCUGAGACACGAAAGCGUGGGGAGCAAACAGGAUUAGAUACCCUGGUAGUCCACGCUGUAAACGAUGAAUACUAGGUGUGGGGAUCGUAGGAUUUCCGUGCCGCAGUUAACGCAAUAAGUAUUCCACCUGGGGGGUACGGCCGCAAGGUUGAAACUCAAAGGAAUUGACGGGAGCCCGCACAAGCAGUGGAGUAUGUGGUUUAAUUCGACGCAACGCGAAGAACCUUACCGGAGCUUGACAUCCUCGGAAGACCGAUGUAAAGUUGGUUGUGCUCCUUCGGGAGAACCGAGAGACAGGUGGUGCAUGGUUGUCGUCAGCUCGUGUCGUGAGAUGUUGGGUUAAGUCCCGCAACGAGCGCAACCCUUAUGUUUAGUUGCUACGAAAGAGCACUCUGGACAGACUGCCGUUGACAAAACGGAGGAAGGUGGGGACGACGUCAAAUCAUCAUGCCCCUUACGCUCCGGGCUACACACGUACUACAAUGGUGAGAACAAAGGGAAGCUAAGCCGCGAGGCGGAGCGAACCCCAUAAAAAUCAUCCCAGUUCGGACUGCAGGCUGCAACUCGCCUGCACGAAGUUGGAAUUGCUAGUAAUCGCGGAUCAGCAUGCCGCGGUGAAUACGUUCCC